GAGGCGUCCGGAGGCGAUGACCCGCUGAUCCCCAUUUGGGCAUCAAGGGACGCGGCGAGCCAGUGAUGCAACCGGCCGGACGGCUA
rnacentral:ncRNA from 10 species